rnacentral:rRNA from 1 species
GCAUAUCAAUAAGCGGAGGAAAAGAAACCAACAGGGAUUGCCUCAGUAACGGCGAGUGAAGCGGCAAGAGCUCAAAUUUGAAAGCUGGCUCCUUCGGGGUCCGCAUUGUAAUUUGCAGAGGAUGCUUCGGGAGCGGCCCCCAUCUAAGUGCCCUGGAACGGGCCGUCAUAGAGGGUGAGAAUCCCGUCUGGGAUGGGGUGCCCGCGCCCGUGUGAAGCUCCUUCGACGAGUCGAGUUGUUUGGGAAUGCAGCUCUAAAUGGGUGGUAAAUUUCAUCUAAAGCUAAAUACUGGCCGGAGACCGAUAGCGCACAAGUAGAGUGAUCGAAAGAUGAAAAGCACUUUGAAAAGAGAGUUAAACAGCACGUGAAAUUGUUGAAAGGGAAGCGCUUGCGACCAGACUCGCCCGCGGGGUUCAGCCGGCAUUCGUGCCGGUGUACUUCCCCGCGGGCGGGCCAGCGUCGGUUUGGGCGGCCGGUCAAAGGCCCUCGGAAUGUAACGCCCCCCGGGGCGCCUUAUAGCCGAGGGUGCCAUGCGGCCAGCCCAGACCGAGGAACGCGCUUCGGCUCGGACGCUGGCAUAAUGGUCGUAAGCGACCCGUCUUGAAACACGGACCAAGGAGUCUAACAUCUACGCGAGUGUUCGGGUGUCAAACCCGUGCGCGCAGUGAAAGCGAACGGAGGUGGGAACCCCUCGGGGUGCACCAUCGACCGAUCCUGAUGUCUUCGGAUGGAUUUGAGUAAGAGCGUAGCUGUUGGGACCCGAAAGAUGGUGAACUAUGCCUGAAUAGGGCGAAGCCAGAGGAAACUCUGGUGGAGGCUCGCAGCGGUUCUGACGUGCAAAUCGAUCGUCAAAUUUGGGUAUAGGGGCGAAAGACUAAUCGAACCAUCUAGUAGCUGGUUCCUGCGA